rnacentral:lncRNA from 10 species
GCAGCUCCGGGCCACCCUUCGGGCAGUGAGGGGGCGGGCAGUGCGCACCGCGCCCGGGAACCCCCUCGGCUGGACGCGGCCUGAGGAAUCCCAAGGAGUCCUAUGAGGGAGGUGGUCGGGGAGCGCGGAUGGCCUAGGGGUGAGCCUUUGGGUGUUGGGCCUCGAGGGAGAUCAGAAAGCGGGGGUUGCGGGGGACGCAACGGCGACACUUGGAAGGCACGGAUUCCGGAGCGGCGAGUGUCGCUCCUCCCCACGCUCCACCCCUGCCCCCACCUCCCACCUCUCGCUGGAACAAGUGGAUUCGCUGACUGGUUAAUGAAUGUACCCUUAGAAGUGGCUUUUUAAAAAACUUAGUCAACCACCAAAAAUUGUCAUCAGUCCCUCCUCCCAAACUCUUGAGGAAUUCUACUCUCUUGUCUUCAGCAUAUACUUUGGCCUACCCUAGAGGAAACCCAAUCAACCAUUAACCCUCGGUUUAUGAAGAGGUUACAGAAAUUUACCAGGAAAGGUAACGAUGAUGCUUUUAAGAAAAUUCCUUACGUUUGUUUCUGUGCCAAAUUCUGUAUGACUUAUAUUUUAAUCGAGAGAGGCUAGUAGUCAUAUGUGAAAAGAGAUGAUUGUCAUAAGAAGCAUUAAGAGUUAUGCUACAUUUACCCAGAGCGGUAUUUAAAUUUCAACGUGCAUCACCGUCACCUGAACACGUAUUAAAACGCAGGUAUCUGGGCCCCAUUCCCAGAGUUUCUGAUUCAGUAGGUCUAGAGGAACCCGGUUUUUUAAAUUUCUAAGAAAUUCCCAGAUGCUGCUGCUACUGCUGCUGCUGGUGGUCUCGGACCACACCGUGAAAAACACAGAAUGUCCAGCCUAGUUUUGGGGAAUAGAAAUAACUGAACUGUUUUCCGCUGGCGUCCUGUGAUUUUAUUAUCAUGAAAAAGUCACUAAACCCGGGUCUAAAGACCUGAGGUGUUUGUUUUGUUUUGUUUUGGUUUGUUUUGUUUUGUUUUGUUUUGUUUUGUGUUUGAGACGAGGUCUCACUGUCGCCCAGGCUAGAGUGCAAUGGCGCGAUCUUGGCUCACUGCAACCUCCGCCUCCCAGGUUUCUCCUGCCUCAGCCUCCCCAGUAGCUGGGAUUACAGGCGGGCGCCACCACACCCAGCUAAUUUUUGUAUUUUUAGUAGAGACGGGGUUUCACCACAUUGUCCAGGCUGGUCUCGAACUCCUGACCUCAGGUGAUCCACCCACCUCGGCCUCCUAAAGUGCUGGGAUUACAGGCGUGAGCCACCGUGCCCGGCCAAGACCUGAGUUUUAGUCUUACUGCAGGAUGCCCUAUUGAAUAAAGCAAGAAGGCAUAGCCCACACUGUUAUAAUAAACAGAAACUCAGUUUCUCCAUCUGCAAAAUGGGAGUUGUUAAGUCCUGCUAAGUCCCUGUCACUGGACUGGUGAAGGAAUCAAGCAAAUAAAUGGAUAGGAAGUCACCUCAGAUGAUAAAGUUUUCAGUCAGCAUGAGGGUGUUACAGACCCUAGGUGCUUUUCAGACCUCAAAAAGCCAAGAGCUGGGUUUAACAUAGGAAGGCCGCUGGAGCAGGGCAUCCUGACCUCAGAAUUUCCCAGGCACCCACCGUGUGGGGAGACCUGUGAUUUUCUUGCCUGGCUUUUGGCGCUUUCGUAUUAAGCCUCCUCAAUUUGGCCCCGUUGAAAUGCCGCAUUCCUCACCCUCCUUGCUUAGUGUCUGGGCCUCAGGAAGAAAGGAAGUGAUGGUGGUUGGAAAAAUGGAAGAAGGGACAAUUUUACACUUGUGAUUUUUUUAGUUUGCAUUUGUCUCUUUUUUUGUUUUAUUUUGACAUAACUUCAGACAAAGUGCAAGAAUUGUACAAAGAAUACCCACAUAUCUUCACCUGGGUUCCUUAAUUAACAUUUUACUCUGUCUCUACACAUGCACAAAUUCUUUUUCUAAAUGAUGGAACAAUCUCCCUACUAUAAAUUAUUAUUUUACUCUUUUAAUUAAUAAAUAUCUUUCUGAGAAGUAUUUUGAGAUUAUAUAAAUACCAUCCUGUUACUUCUCCAUUGUUUGCUCAUUAUAGUGGUCUUUGAUUCUUGUUUGUCUUGAUAUUAUAAUGGUUGCUAAAUUCUGGUAUUCCAGUUUCAUCAUGCCUUCUACGUGUAUUCGUUGUCAUUCUACUGUAAAAAUGAGCUUUCCUUUAUUAUUAAAUAACAGCAUGGGCUAUGCCUUCUUGCUUUAUUCAAUAGGUUAUAAUUCUUAAGUAUUAUCAUUA